rnacentral:rRNA from 1 species
AUUGAACGCUGGCGGCAUGCCUUACACAUGCAAGUCGAACGGUAACAGGUCUUCGGAUGCUGACGAGUGGCGAACGGGUGAGUAAUACAUCGGAACGUGCCUAGUAGUGGGGGAUAACUACUCGAAAGAGCGGCUAAUACCGCAUGAGAUCUACGGAUGAAAGCAGGGGAUCGCAAGACCUUGUGCUACUAGAGCGGCCGAUGGCAGAUUAGGUAGUUGGUGGGAUAAAAGCUUACCAAGCCGACGAUCUGUAGCUGGUCUGAGAGGACGAUCAGCCACACUGGGACUGAGACACGGCCCAGACUCCUACGGGAGGCAGCAGUGGGGAAUUUUGGACAAUGGGCGAAAGCCUGAUCCAGCAAUGCCGCGUGCAGGAUGAAGGCCUUCGGGUUGUAAACUGCUUUUGUACGGAACGAAAAGCCCCGGGUUAAUACCCUGGGGUCAUGACGGUACCGUAAGAAUAAGCACCUGCUAACUACGUGCCAGCCGCCGCAGUAA